ACAGCUAUUAUUGGUAUUUUGUAAACAGGUCGUUUGGUUCGUUAUUUUUAACAUUUCAAUCGAUCAGAUUUAGGUGAUCGUUGAAUGAAUCAUUUGACCCCCUAUCCCCCUAAUCCCGCCUGCUUCCUUCUUUUAUCAUCUGAGCGACACCCAUCUCCUGGCGACUGUUCCUUCCAUCGGAGCCCCUUCUCCUGCACCGACCUUCCCAUCGGAGUUCCUCUCCGGCGGCACAACAAUCGCUCCCCUUCCUCCUCGUAUUUCUGAGUAGCGCCUCUUCAUUCGUUGCUGAAAUUCACGUACCAUCUCGUCUCUGCAUCUCUGUGGAGACUAGUAUAUUUACGGCUUGCUUUUCAUGGGCCGGGACGCUUGCCUAAUAGCCCAUGUUAUGCUGUUUGUGGGCCGGGCGUCUAGCUGAGCUCUGCCUCGAAAUUUACUCCAAAAACGCUCUGAAUUCCGACUACAGUACAGAGGUUCCGGUAACUGUGAAACAUUCACAGAAGCAGAAGCAGUCAAAGAGGAAUCAACACUAAAAGCCCCAAAUUUAAGCGUACCGUUGAUAAUAUUGAUAGCAAGUUUAUGGUCGAAAAUCCGGUAUUAUCUUUCUCAAAUUUUAUGUUUUUCUUAAAAUUUGGUAACUGUGAGACUCUUAGUUUGAUUUAUUGUUGUAUAUUCCACUCUACAGCGCUUAUGGAUCUCAUGAUCAUGUUCAUUUAGCUAUAAGAGAAUGUAUCUAAUCUAGCGGUUUUUUCUGAACGCCUCUCUUAGAUUUUAAGAUCAGAUUAGGUUAAUCUGUCUACAGUAUUUCUUCUUACUCUAGCAUGGCAACCAGCUACACAAUUCAUUAAAAGUCUUGUUCUUCUCAUCAUAUCGUCGAAUCAACAUUUUGUUCUUUUUACAUAUUUAGUCAAACACUUCAUUUUUUUUUA